UCGCCUGUGAUGUAAUGGUGUUGAGCAUUCCUACCCGGUCAGCAGAAGGUGCGGGUUCGAGUCCCGCCUGGCGGC
rnacentral:tRNA from 1 species